rnacentral:rRNA from 1 species
UGGGGAAUAUUGGACAAUGGGCGAAAGCCUGAUCCAGCCAUGCCGCGUGUGUGAAGAAGGUCUUCGGAUUGUAAAGCACUUUAAGUUGGGAGGAAGGGCAUUAACCUAAUACGUUAGUGUUUUGACGUUACCGACAGAAUAAGCACCGGCUAACUCUGUCCCAGCAGCCGCGGUAAUACAGAGGGUGCAAGCGUUAAUCGGAAUUACUGGGCGUAAAGCGCGCGUAGGUGGUUUGUUAAGUUGGAUGUGAAAUCCCCGGGCUCAACCUGGGAACUGCAUUCAAAACUGACUGACUAGAGUAUGGUAGAGGGUGGUGGAAUUUCCUGUGUAGCGGUGAAAUGCGUAGAUAUAGGAAGGAACACCAGUGGCGAAGGCGACCACCUGGACUAAUACUGACACUGAGGUGCGAAAGCGUGGGGAGCAAACA